GGCGGCAUAGCCAAGCGGUAAGGCAGAGGACUGCAACUCCUCUAUCACCGGUUCGAUUCCGGUUGCCGCCUCCA
rnacentral:tRNA from 1 species